UUGUAGUCAUAUGCUUGUCUCAAAGAUUAAGCCAUGCAUGUCUAAGUAUAAACAAGUUUGUACUGUGAAACUGCGAAUGGCUCAUUAAAUCAGUUAUAGUUUAUUUGAUGGUUUUUGCUACAUGGAUAACUGUGGUAAUUCUAGGGCUGAUACAUGCACUCAAGCCCCGACUUCUGGAAGGGGUGUAUUUAUUAGAUAAAAAUCAACUUUGUUGGUGAAUCAUAAUAACUUCUCGGACCGCAUGGCCUCGUGCUGGCGGUGCUUCAUUCAAAUAUCUGCCCUAUCAACUGUCGAUGGUAGGAUAGAGGCCUACCAUGGUUGCAACGGGUAACGGGGAAUAAGGGUUCGAUUCCGGAGAGGGAGCCUGAGAAACGGCUACCACAUCCAAGGAAGGCAGCAGGCGCGCAAAUUACCCAAUCCCAACACGGGGAGGUAGUGACAAUAUGUAACAAUAUACGGCCUUAUGCGUCGUAUAAUUGGAAUGAGUACAAUUUAAAUCCCUUAACGAGGAACAAUU
rnacentral:rRNA from 1 species